rnacentral:rRNA from 1 species
UACGUAGGCAGCAAGCGUUGUUCGGAAUUACUGGGCGUAAAGAGUGUGUAGGCGGUGUUCUAAGUUUGUCGUGAAAUCUCCCGGCUUAACUGGGAGGGUGCGGCGAAAACUUGGAAAUGCUAGAGGAUGGGAGAGGUAAGCGGAAUUCCUGGUGUAGCGGUGAAAUGCGUAGAUAUCAGGAGGAACACCUGUGGUGUAGACAGCUUACUGGACCAUUUCUGACGCUGAGACACGAAAGCGUGGGUAGCAAACAGG